rnacentral:rRNA from 1 species
CCUACGGGGUGCAGCAGUGAGGAAUAUUGGACAAUGGGCGCGAGCCUGAACCAGCCAAGCAGCGUGAAGGAUGACUGCCCUACGGGUUGUAAACUUCUUUUAUAAAGGAAUAAAGUGAGGCACGUGUGCAUUUUGGUAUGGACUUUAUGAAUAAGGAACGGCUAACUCCGUGCCAGCAGCCGCGGUAAUACGGAGGAUCCGAGCGUUAUCCGGAUUUAUUGGGUUUAAAGGGAGCGUAGAGGGCUUGUUAAGUCAGUUGUGAAAGUUUGCGGCUCAACCGUAAGACUGCUAUUGAGACUGGCAGUCUUGAGUACAGUUGAGGUAAGCGGAAUUCGUGGUGUAGCGGUGAAAUGCUUAGAUAUCACGAAGAACUCCGAUUGCGAAGGCAGCUUACUGAACUGUCACUGACAUUGAUGCUCGAAAGUGUGGGUAUCAAACAGGAUUAGAUACCCCAGUAGUC